rnacentral:rRNA from 1 species
GAUGAACGCUGGCGGCGUGCCUAACACAUGCAAGUCGAGCGAUUCUCUUCGGAGCAGCGUGGCGGACGGGUGAGUACCGCGGGGUUAACCAGCCCUGUACACCCGGAUUACAUGACUAAAGGUACGCUAAUACGACAUAAUAUGCUUUUAUCGCAAGGUAGAAGUAUCAAAGGUUUUGCGGUACAGGAUGGACGCGCGUCCGAUUAGCUAGUUGGUAAGGUAACGGCUUACCAAGGCGGGGAUCAGUAGCCGAGCUGAGAGGGUGAUCGGCCACAUUGGAACGAGGACGCGGUCCGAACUCCUACGGGAGGGGGGAGUGGGGGAUAUUGCACAGUGGGGGAAAGGCUGAAGCAGCACGGCUGGGUGAGCGAUGAAGGCAUGCAGGUCGAAAAGUGCUGGCAUCAGGGAAGAUAAUGACGGUACUUGAGGAGGAAGCCCCGGCUAACUACGUG